ACUUGUAAAUAAUUGAAACAUGAUUUAAUAUCUAGAUAUUUUCUCUACUUAAACUUGGUGCCCAAGUUAAUCCAUCAUCUUCUUCAUUUUGUGGGUGCCGAAUACUCCAUAGCUCCCAACACAAAACCUUAUACUUUUAUUUUCUCUCAAAACUUUCUUCACGAAAAUUGUCGGGAAUAUUGCGUAGAUCGUGUAUGUGUGUUUGCAUGUUCGUUUGAGAUUCGACAAGUUGUCGAGCUAUCGGGUCGGCGGACCAAGGGAAUUAACGGAGUUGUUUAAAGGAGCAUUGACGGAGUAAUACCGUAGUUAAACGGUUUCUGAAAGCUGGUCCGAUUUUGAUGAAGGCUUCCGAACGUUUAUUUCUCGGAAGUCUACUUUGAUAAAAGACUGUAAAGAAGGUUUUAAGUUCUAGUUGUCCGCAGUAGACUAGUAUAGUCUUAUUGUAUUUAAAUGUUUUAAUGCACAUUUAAAACUCUGAUAUUUUAUCUCAUCAGUUAUUUAAUAAAUGUGUCAUACGUCUCUUUUAAAAGCGAAAAAUUUAUAGUGUUUUUCAGGCUUGCUACGGGUUUCGGAGCAACCACUCCCAUUCCCUAGCGCCGGUCUCGACUCGAGAUUUCG